AUACGUAGGGUGCGAGCGUUAAUCGGAAUUACUGGGCGUAAAGCGUGCGCAGGCGGUUUUGUAAGACAGAGGUGAAAUCCCCGGGCUCAACCUGGGAACUGCCUUUGUGACUGCAAGGCUAGAGUACGGCAGAGGGGGAUGGAAUUCCGCGUGUAGCAGGGAAAUGCGGUGAUAUGCGGAGGAACACCGAUGGCGAAGGCAAUCCCCUGGGCCUGUACUGACGCUCAUGCACGAAAGCGUGGGGAGCAAACAGGAUUAGAUACCCUGGUAGUCCACGCCCUAAACGAUGUCAACUGGUUGUUGGGUCUUCAUUGACUCAGUAACGAAGCUAACGCGUGAAGUUGACCGCCUGGGGAGUACGGCCGCAAGGUUGAAACUCAAAUGAAUUGGCGGGG
rnacentral:rRNA from 1 species